GUGCCAGCAGCCGCGGUAAUACGUAGGGUGCAAGCGUUAAUCGGAAUUACUGGGCGUAAGGCGUGCGCAGGCGGUUUUGUAAGUCUGGCGUGAAAUCCCCGGGCUUAACCUGGGAAUGGCAUUGGUGACUGCACGGCUAGAGUGUGUCAGAGGGGGGUAGAAUUCCACGUGUAGCAGUGAAAUGCGUAGAGAUGUGGAGGAAUACCGAUGGCGAAGGCAGCCCCCUGGGAUAACACUGACGCUCAUGCACGAAAGCGUGGGGAGCAAACAGGAUUAGAUACCCUGGUAGUCCACGCCCUAAACGGUGCAUACUAUUAGUAUGGGGUAUCGACCCCCUGUGCUGAGAAGCUAACGCGAUAAGUAUGCCGCCUGGGGAGUACGAGCGCAAGCUUAAAACUCAAAGGAAUUGACGG
rnacentral:rRNA from 1 species